UACUAUAUAACAAAUAAUUUGAGGAUGUCAAUAGCCGAAGUAGUGUUUGUUUUAGGACCUCCUGGGGCUGGUAAAGGGACACAGUGCACCAGAAUCAAAGACAGCUUUGGUUACAUCCAUCUUUCAGCAGGUGAUCUGCUAAGAGCUGAACAGAAGGCGGGGUCUGAAGAUGGAGAACUGAUCAAAGACUUUAUUAAAGAGGGCAAGAUUGUCCCGAUUGAGAUUACCAUCAGGCUCCUUGAGAAAGCAGUUGUAAGUGCUGGAGCCACUAAAGUGCUAAUAGACGGGUUCCCAAGAAACAAGGAGAAUCUGGACGGCUGGGAGAAGGAGAUGGUGGAGACUGGGAAAAUGCACACCAAGUUCAUGUUGUACUUCGAGUGCGCUGAGGAGGAGUGUUUGAGCCGAGCUAUGGGACGCAACCAAAAUAGAGCUGACGACAAUGUUGAGUCGUUCAAGAAGCGCAUAGCGACCUACACCUCCUCCACAGUCCUGGUUCUGGAGGAGUUCAACACUCGGGGUCUCCUGAGGAAGGUGGACGCUAAUGGUUCUCCCGAUCAAGUGUGGGACCUUACUCGACAGUUGUUUCUGUAACUUAUAGGAUACCCCUGGAAGGUCCUGCAAAUCCUGAUAGUCCAUUUUAUACUGAAGGAGACACGCCCCUGCUCACCAACUUCAUGGCUCCCAUCCCAAAUAUUGGUGGAAUCUCCGCCCCAGCUCCAACACCUCUCCCAAAUCUCGACGAGAUCUCCGCUCCAGCUCUGCCCCUCUUCAACGCGUCCCUCAGUGUGGAUCCUAGUGGUCCUGAGCAGGAAAGUGUGGUGUUGAGUCUAGGAGAAGGGGAAGGAGAGGAGGAAGAGGAGGAGGAGUAUUCUGGUAUCCUCAGCCUCUGUAAUAUUCUGUAGCUCACUUGUUGUGGAGUUUGUUGUGGUGAAUGUUGUUAUUUGAUACGGGUUGUAGUGGUUCGCGUUUGUUAUUGUAACCAGAUAUAUUUAAGAUUAAAAUGGCGCCACCAUGUGCAAUGUGCAUCCAAUAUCAGCUGACUUUUAUUUUAGUCUGUUUUGAUUUUGAUGCCUGUGUUCAUCUGGUAGUCAGCUAUUUUUUCCCUCGUUGAAUAUAUUAUAGGUUUUCGAAUUGGCUGCUUUGCCACUGAGUUAAGAUUUUGAGGCUAGGGUUUCGAGUUAUGUUUUUUCGAUCGACCGAUAGGCGAGGAUUUCCGGGGGCGUUUUUCUAUUUGACUGGGGUAUGACUUAUCGGGUUUAACUUAAGUAUUUUAAAUUUAUGCUAAAUAAUGUAAAUAUUGUCUAAAUUAUGCCUUAAAUUUAAUGGGUUAAAUGUUAAAGUUAUUAUUAUUUCUUUUGAAUUUGAUGUCUGGGCUAAAUGUAUCGAAACUUCAUCUAUGAGUAAAUUUGCAAUAUAGUUAAACAUUUUAUUUAAAACAUUUCAUGAGC